CUAAUACUCCCUCCGUUCGGAAUUACUCGUCCAAGAAAUGAAUGUAUCUAGAUGUAUUUUAGUUGUAGAUACAUCCAUUUUUGUGACAAGUAAUUCCGAACGGGGGGAGUAGAAG
rnacentral:pre_miRNA from 1 species